GUUGCUUAGAGACGCGGGGAUCCGAUCCUUGCGCGGCUCGGAAAAUGGCGGGAAAAGGCGGCAGCGGCUCUGAGGGGGGGUUAGGCGCCUCAGCUGAGGCAACGCUUCACCGGGGAUAUUGCGGUAUCGGAAUCCGGUGCCAUCCUUACCGCCUCUCCCUUCCCCACACCUUCUUAGGGCCGGGACGCCUUUCCACCCUUCAUUCGUUCGUCGGCCAUCCUGAAAGAGGUCUGCAGAUCUCGUGCCUGUCCAGAGGGCGACCGCCAAUUCGCCUGGCCUUGAUGGCUCCUCCGAUUUUUUUUUUUUUAUUUUUGUUUUAGGCUUUUCCAGCCAUCUGAUUUAGUGAAAAGAUGAACCAGCAGUAUGUGCUGAAGCUGCCAAAAAAAGCCAACCCAAUCCUAGGCUGCAUUAACAGAGGAAUAGAAUCAAGAUCAUGUGAACUGUUAAUACCGCUUUAUAAUGCUUUGCUGCAAGUACCCAAAAUACUGAGCCUCAAUGAUACUUCUGCUUGCAUCCCUGGAAAGUGAUCCAAGUGCCUGCAGGUGUGCACGAGCAGCACCUCCACUUUCCAAACUGAAUCCAGAAGUUGCAGGGGAAUCUUACGGACAGCAGCGCAUGCGGCACUUUUUAAAGUUAUCGAAUAAAAUGAAAAUAGAAUUGAAUGCCUAAAAAAAUAACUGUCCAAUCUUGUAAAAAUAAUGUACUAUGUUCUCAGUUGAUGUAGAAUAUCUUGCAUAUUGUGUGAAAACCGGGUAGUCUUAAGAUGUACAGUUUUAAGAAUGUUCAUAACCUAAAAUUUUCAGAGAAUAUUUUCUGGGUUACUUUUACUAUGGUUAAAAGACUGUUAUUGCAGUAUUGGAUUGGAAGCCUUGGGUGAAUUAACAUUUAAUUCUUGAUGGGGUUGCACUGCCCCAGACAGACCGAAGGCACAACUUUGGGGGUUUUCCCUGGACUCACAACUCCUGCUCAAAGAGCAGGUGGAUGUUGUGGUUAGAAGAACCUUUGUGUAACUUCGUGUUGUGUACCAGUUGUGCCCUUUCCUGCACUCAGUCACUCAAGCCUAGUCAUCUUAUGUUGAACUAUUACAAUAGUCUCUACAUGGGGAUAUCCUUGAAGAGUAUUUGGCAGCUACAGCUGGUGCAGAACGCAGUUGUGCAGAUAGUUCUUAGGGCCCCUAGAGUGGCCCAUGUUACACCACUGUUCUGCAAACUGCACUGGUUGCCACUUUUGGUUGCCACUUUUGCUUCUGGGUCCAAUUCUAGGAGUUGGUUCUUACCUUUAAUGCCCUUCAUGGCAUGGGUUCAGGUUAUCUGAGGAACUGCCUCUCCCCAGUGGGAUUGGCCCACCCAACUGCGCUGGAGGAGUAGCUGUGAACUCUUGUUAGUCAAGGAAUUCUGGCUGUUCAGGAAAAGAGCCUGUUUUGCAGUGGCCCCUGCCCUCUAGAACGUCAUGUCCCCCCCCAAGGUGAUAUUCACACUCACCCUUUUGGCCCUUGAAGGGGUUUGAAGACCUGGCUCAGCCAAUUGGAGGUGGUUAAUGGACUAAGAUAAGACCCCAUUUCUUCCUUUUAUGCAUCUUGCUCCCUUCCUAUCUUUGCCAGUUUUAAGCUAAUGUUACUAGUUAUUUAUAUUUUAAUUGGUUGUACAAGAUGAUUGACAGCUGUCUAGAGCCACCUCUAGGUAAGAUGGGCAGCAUAUAAGUUAAGCAAAUAGGAAAGAUAAAUGUGUGGCCCCAUUUACACAAUAAAGUGAAGAACUAAUUACACUUGC